rnacentral:lncRNA from 1 species
UGGGCUAUAUUGUAAAACACAAACUUUUGAGGUCACUUUGUAAAAACACAAAAGUCCACUACUUCAUGUAAUUACAACUAGAACCCAAAAAUUUCAACAAAAACAAAAACUUCAUUAAAGGAGCAAAACAAUUUGUCCUUUAGUGAUUUUGGGCUUUUACGUAAAAACGUAAACUUUCGGGUCAAGGUGCAAAUACACAAAAGUCUCAAAACUUUAUGUAAUUACAUAAAAGCCCCAAAAGUACCCCCAUUAUAGGGGUGGCAGGUUAUGGUAGUGAUAAUGAGUGAUGGGUUGGUUUUUGUUGAAAAUUCAAAGUCAAAUAUGUUAAAAAAGAUAGGUAUGGUGUUGAAAUAAAAUAGGUAUGAGUGUGAAAGUAAAGUAUCAAUCGUGUACAUCAACCAUGACUAGCAUAAUUUCAAACACACUUUUUCAAAAGUGACUCGUUGAUGGAAAAGUCACACCAACCAUCAUAAAUCAAGACUUUAUGUAAACAACAUAAAAAAAUUCAACAAAAACAAAAACUUCAUUAAAGGAGCAAAACAAUUUGUCCUUUAGUGAUUUUGGGUCUUUACGUAAAAACGUAAACUUUCAGGUCAAAGUGCAAAUACACAAAAGUAUCAAAACUUUAUGUAAUUGCAUAAAAGCCUCAAAAGUACCCCCAUUAUAGGGGUGGCCGGUUAUGGUAGUUAUAAUGAGUGAUGGGUUGAUUUUUGUUAAAAAUUCGAAGUCAAGUAUGUUGAAAAAGAUAGGUAUGGUGUUGAAAGAAAAUAGGUAUGGGUGUGAAAGCAAAGUAUCAAUCAUGUACACCAACCAUGACUAACAUAAUUUCAAACACACUUUUUCAAACGUGACUUGUUGAUGGAAAAGUCACAACAACCAUCAUAAAUCAAGGCUUUAUGUAAACAACCAAAAACUUUGAAUCAAAACACCCAACGUUUUGUUCUUGGCAAGAACAAAGCAAGAACAUUGAAGAACAUCCAUGAAAACCCAUAAGAGCUCCAUGAAUGUUUUCACUCAAUAAAACUCAAAUUUUCACUACUCAAAAGGGUUAACAUCCUAGGGUACUUAGGGGGUUCCAAAAGUCACUUUAAAACACUUUUAACAAGACAAACAUGAACCCAAAAAUCCACCCUUUGGAUUUGGCCGAAUUUCCCCAAAAACAUGGCACCAAAUUUUAGCUCUAAUGCAUGCUCAUAUGAACUAUAUCUACAACAUUUGAGAUGACAAAUUUUCUAGCAAAAUUUACAUUCAAAGAAGCAAGAAUAAAGCUUGUAAUAAUUACAACAUUCAAAUUAAAGACUAUGAACUAUAAAACCCAAAAGGAUUCACCAACUACUAGACCUAGGCUCUGAUACCACUUGAAGGAAAUAUUUGUGAUAAACAAGUUCAUUUGAGCAACAUCCACAACAUGAAAUUAACAAUUAAAGGCAGAAUCAUGCUUGUAUGCACUCAAAAACAAAAAUUUACCCAUGAAAUUCAAGGCCUAGUGAGUGUGGUGAACCAAGACUCAACUCAAAACCAAAGUGAGUUGAGAAAUCUUAUACCUUUGUUGAUUCCUCUUUGCAUAAGCAAAGGUUAAUCACCUAAGAGAUAGGGCCUUCAUUCCCUUACUUCUUAACUCCAUGGAUUUCUUGGAUGAUGAUAGUAGAAUGGAUUCUCCAAGUUCCCAAAAUAGAGAACCUCUAAGUGUCCACACCAAGGAGAGCAUUGAUGAAGAGAUGAGUGACCUAGAGGUAGUAAGAUUGAUAGCUAUUUUCCUUUAGUGUGGCCAGCCUCUUAGAGAGAAAAGAGAGCAUUGUGUUCUCAUCUUUUCUCCAAA